UACGUAGGGACCGAGCGUUGUCCGGAUUCAUUGGGCGUAAAGAGCUCGUAGGCGGCCACUCAAGUCGAAUGUGAAACCUCGAGGCUUAACCUCGAGCCUGCAUUCGAUACUGGGCGGCUAGAGUCUGGUAGGGGGAUCUGGAAUUCCUGGUGUAGCGGUGGAAUGCGCAGAUAUCAGGAGGAACACCGGUGGCGAAGGCGGUUCUCUGGGCCUUACCUGACACUGAGGAGCGAAAGCGUGGGGAGCGAACAGG
rnacentral:rRNA from 1 species